AGUAUUUUAAUCUCCCACCUGAAUUCUGACCAAAAGCUUUUUCCGUUGCUCUCAGAGAUUCCAGAAGAUUAAGAAAUGUGACACAAUCAUACUGAGAGAGAUACUGCAGCAAAGUUCGUAAUAUCUUCAAAUCCUGAACUAAGGAUUUAGUCUUGGCUCCAAGCUGGUGCCACAAAGGAUCCAGAUAAUGGCGGAUUGUCUAAAACAAGAAUAAAAUUUGUGACAUAGAGAUUGACUCAGAGUUUAA
rnacentral:lncRNA from 1 species